UAUUUAUGAAAAGGUAUAAUGCAUUAAAGUGUACAUCAUGAAUGCCUUUAUAAUGUAUAAUGAUUCUUAGGAGUUUGUUGAAAGGUUUGCUCCUCUUGAAUCCCAGUUUCUGCUCUAUUUAUUAGUUUGAUUUAUGUGUUUAUUUACCACCAUCACAUCUGAAAACUCAAAAUGCUGUUGAGAAAUCUUUUGGGUAGAAUAAGAUGAUCUUAAUUGUGUGAAGUCCAGGAGUUGUUUUGAGAGGGCCGUUCCUCAUGAGCUGCUGUCAGAGAUCUGGAUGUGUUUCUGUGUGUUCUGAUGGACGCAGUGGUGACCCUCAGCAGACUGUGUCUAAUCAAUGAAAACAUCAGAGAUUGAGUCCAGCUGGGAAAUGUGGGUCAGAGAUGCUGGAGCGUUCAGUAGAGCCGCUAUCAGAGUUCUUUCUGACUCACAUUUGGCUCUGCUCGUGACAUUCAGCCUGCGAUCGGAGCUGACAGUCGUGUUUUGUUCUGCCGUUGUUGUUGUGUUCUGUUGUCAUGUGUUCAGCGACUGGACCGAGUCCCAACAGAAUCUGCUCACAAACUGAAGAACGGAUUGUAUGUUAAAGCUGCAUUUCUCUCUCUCUCUUUGAGUGAAGGUGUAACACUUAUUCAUGUGCUUCUGAUCUGCUGCUUGCUUCUCUAAUGCUGCAGGAAUGAGAGUGUGUGUGUGUGUGUGUGUGUGUGUGUCUGUGUGUGGGUGUGUGUGUGUGUGUAAGUGUGUGUGUGUAUGUGUGUGUGUGUGUGUGUGUGUGUGUGUGUGUGACCAAAUGUAGCCACAAGGAUAGUAAAACUUUACAUUUUUGACAUUGUGGGGUCUGGCCUGCGGUCCCCACGCAUUGGAAAAAAAAUUUAAAAUAGUAAAUGAUGUUUAUCUGAAAGUGUAAGAAUGCAGACAGGUUUUCUGUAAAGGGGUAGGUUUAGGGUCAGGGGAUAGAAAAUAUUGUUUGGUCAAUAUAGAAGUAAUAGAAGUUUAUGGAAAGUCUUCACAAUUCACAGAAACAAACAUGUAUUAGUGUUCUGGUUCGGUCUGGUGUGGUGUGUGUGUUCUGGUCUGGUCUGGUCUGGUUUGGUGUGUGUGUGUUCUGGUCUGGUCUGGUGUGUGUGUGUUCUGGUCUGGCCCGGUCUGGUCUGGUCUGGUCUGGUGUGUGUUCUGGUCUGGUCUGGUGUGUGUGUGUUCUGGUCUGGUCUGGUGUGUAUGUGUUCUGGUCUGGUCCGGUCUGGUCUGGUGUGUGUGUGUGUGUUCUGGUCUGGUCCGGUCUGGUCUGGUGUGUGUGUGUUCUGCAGAGGUUCUCGUGGUGGAGCUGCUCAGGGAAAGUCUGGCUCUGUUCCUGCUUCCACGUGGCACUGACCGAGCGUCCAGAGCUCUUCUGACUCUGUGACUCAUUCAGUCUCUGUUUUUAUAAGAGACGCCAGUUUCCAGACGGAGCAUUACACAGCCUUCAGGAAGACUUCUGAAAAUGAACAUUUACAUAGCAGUGCUGCUUUACCUGUAUUUAUAAACUAUUAUAAUACUUGUUUUGAGUUAUUUUAGUGAAAGUGCUUGUGUAUAUUAUGGGAUGUAUAUGGAGUAUAUAUUAUGGUGUUCUAGUGCACAGCUAGUCAUAAAAAGUUCAGUUCAGUUUGUCACACCUAAAAUGCUGCAUGUUUUGAAUCUGAAUGUUUUGAGACAGUGCAGAAUGAUGCACAAUGGCUCGAGUUCAUAACGCUGAAUAAACAAAAGUGAUUCACUGUGAUUCUGUACUUU
ensembl:lncRNA